rnacentral:rRNA from 1 species
AUCGAACGCUGGCGGCAUGCUUUACACAUGCAAGUCGAACGGUAACAGCCCGCCAGGUGCUGCCGAGUGGCGUACGGCUUGGUAAUCUAUCGUAACGUUCCCAGUCGCUGGGCGUAACUACUCCUAAUAGUAGCUAAUACCUCAUACCAUCUAUGUUUGCACCCUUGGGUCCGUACGCCCUGGCGCGGUUGGAUGGGCCGAUGUCAGCCUAGCUAGUUGGUGGGGUAAAGGUGUACCAAGGCAACGAUCUGUAGCUGGUCUGAGAGGACGAGCAGCCACACUGGGACUGAGACACGGCCCAGAAUCCUACGGGAGGCAGGAGUGGGGAAUAUUGGAAAAUGGGCGAAAGGCUGAACCAGCAAGGCCGCGUGAGUGAUGAAGGACGGAGGGAAGUAAAGCUGGUUUACCCGGGAUGAUAAUGACAGUACCGGGAGAAUAAGCUCCGGCUAACUACGUG